CGGCGGACGGGUGAGUAACGCGUGGGUAACCUGCCUCAUACAGGGGGAUAACAGUUGGAAACGGCUGCUAAUACCGCAUAAGCGCACAGUACCGCAUGGUACGGUGUGAAAAACUCCGGUGGUAUGAGAUGGACCCGCGUCUGAUUAAGUAGUUGGUGGGGUAACGGCCUACCAAGCCGACGAUCAGUAGCCGACCUGAGAGGGUGACCGGCCACAUUGGGACUGAGACACGGCCCAA
rnacentral:rRNA from 1 species